rnacentral:rRNA from 1 species
CCUACGGGAGGCAGCAGUAGGGAAUUUUCGUCAAUGGGCGCAAGCCUGAACGAGCAAUGCCGCGUGAACGAGGAAGGUCUUCGGAUCGUAAAGUUCUGUUGAAGGGGAAAAAGAGCGGAGAGAGGAAAUGAACUCCGAUUGAUAUUACCCUUCGAGGAAGUCACGGCUAACUACGUGCCAGCAGCCGCGGUAAUACGUAGGUGGCGAGCGUUAUCCGGAAUGAUUGGGCGUAAAGGGUGCGUAGGCGGCCUGCUAAUUCUGGAGUGAAAGGUACCGGCUCAACCGGUAUAGGCUCUGGAAACUGGCGGGAUAGAGAGCAGAGGAGGGCGGUGGAACUCCAUGUGGAGCGGUAAAAUGCGUAGAGAUAUGGAAGAACACCAGUGGCGAAGGCGGCCGCCUGGCCUGUUACUGACGCUGUGGCACGAAAGCGUGGGGAGCAAAUAGGAUUAGAUACCCUGGUAGUC